GCGGCUGUAGCUCAGUGGAUAGAGUAUUGGCCUCCGAAGCCAAGGGUCGUGGGUUCGAUCCCCGCCAGCCGCA
rfam:Rhodoferax saidenbachensis strain DSM 22694, complete genome.